rnacentral:rRNA from 1 species
GACGAGCCACACGAACGUUAUUCGGAAUUACUGGGCUUAAAGGGUGCGUAGGCGGCGCGAAAAGUUGGGUGUGAAAUACCUCGGCUUAACCGAGGAACUGCGCCCAAAACUAUCGUGCUCGAGGAAGAUAGAGGUGAGCGGAACUUACGGUGGAGCGGUGAAAUGCGUUGAUAUCGUAAGGAACACCCGUGGCGAAAGCGGCUCACUGGGUCUUUUCUGACGCUGAUGCACGAAAGCUAGGGGAGCAAACGGG